rnacentral:tRNA from 1 species
UGGCUCAGUCAGUUGAGUGCCUGACUUUGGCUCAGGUCAUGGCCUCAUAGUCCGUGGGUUCAAGCCCCAC